UUAGAGUUUGAUCAUGGCUCAGGACGAACGCUGGCGGCGCGCUUAAUACAUGCAAGUCGAGCGAGAACCAUGGCUUCGGCCAUGGGGACAGCGGCGAACGGGUGAGUAACACGUGGGUAAUCAACCCCCGACACCGGGAUAGCCCGGGGAAACCCGGAUUAAUACCGGAUGCCCCAUCCGGCUCUCGAGCCGGCUGGAAAAGGGUAGCUUCGGCCUCCGGUCGGGGACGAGCCCGCGGCGGAUUAGCUUGUUGGUGAGGUAAGAGCUCACCAAGGCGACGAUCCGUAGCUGGUCUGAGAGGACGAUCAGCCACACUGGGACUGAGACACGGCCCAGACUCCUACGGGAGGCAGCAGUAGGGAAUCUUGCGCAAUGGGCGAAAGCCUGACGCAGCGACGCCGCGUGGGGGAAGAAGGCUUUCGGGUUGUAAACCCCUUUCAGGAAGGACGAAGCCACUCGGGUGAAUAGCCCAGAGGGUGACGGUACUUCCAGAAGAAGCCCCGGCUAACUACGUGCCAGCAGCCGCGGUACCCA
rnacentral:rRNA from 1 species